UGCAAUGGAUCUAGUUGAUGAAGUUUCCACCACUUAAAUUUACUUGAAUUACUGGAAUUAUUUUUCGAGUUACGGGCACACAAUAUCUUGGCAGCAAAACUCAUAAGCACAGAUGAUUUUGCUUUUUAUUCAUUUUAGAGAACAGAUCUGCUGAGGAGAGAAGAAUAUUGUGUCUACUAGUAACAGUAACAGUGCAUCUCAUGCCUAAGGGUAGAACUCUACAGACAUGUGGAUAAAACAAGCAUUAAAGUUAGAGACAUGUAAAGUACAGUAGAUGGCCAGAUGUUGGCUAGUGUAUCCUGCAACAGGCUGUCUGAUACAACAGAUAGCAAUGAGUUGACAGGUUCACCAAAUGUGGUUGCAAAUGCCACUUUGUUUGUUGAACACAAUUUCAAGCCAGCACAAGAAAGUUACUUUUGAACAUUAGCAUUCCCAAUACUGUAUCUUAUUUUUUUGUAGAAACUAGGACUACACAUAUUGGAGUAGAGGAAUCCAUCAUACAUUCAGACAUACAUUGGAGUGACCGGGUGGGAAUUAAUCUCAGUAAUUAUAGCUUCCUAGAAAAAAGAAGCAGUGUUUGCCUGUGGUCACUGUAAGAACAAGCUCAAUGUUGUGAGCAUUUAUCGUGUCCAGGCCUAAAAAAAGUUUAAACUUUUAAAGGUAAAUGUUUUUUUGUUGUUGUUGUUGUUUUUUAAUGUGGCUUGAAUAAACAAAUGGUUUAAAUUUAAAUGUCUUAAAAUGUUUUUUUUUUAAUGAUUUUUGGUGGUAAGAAAAAACAAAGACAUGCAUUGUGCUCAUAGUCUUGCUUUAACAGGUUUAGGCUAGGUUCCUUAUUUGAAGGGAAAUGAUAAUACUACCGCGUACAAUGACAUUCUAGGCAAUCAGCUGCUUUUAACAUUGUGGAACACUGUGGAAAAAAAUGUUUGGAAAAGGCCCAUGUGGUUGAUCAUCAAGACCUCUGUGCAGUUCCGGCACUGGAUUGUUCAUUCUGUUCACCUGCAGAUGUCUUGGCCGUGGGGAUGAAGGUGGCUCAAACAGACUGUUUCAGAGUUGGUUUGAAAAUAAUAAUCAGCAGUGGGUCUACAUGGUAAAAGCAGGUUUUCAGAACUCUUUCAGGAAUUCCAUCUCAUCUCACAGCCUUCCUGCCACUCAUUCACUUCCUCUUCAUGCAAUGUUGUGCACACAUACAGCAGGAUGCUAGUAUCAGAUAGGGUGCUAAUAUUAGCAGUGAUAACAUCAAAAGUGUGCAUAGAAAUGUUUGUUUGUUAAAGAGGGAGUGGCCAGCACCCACUACGGCAUGUGAUCGUUCUCUGUAUACCAUGAUGAUUACUUACAGCUGGACUCAAUCCACACAACACACACACAACACACACACACAGUUCACUUGCUCUGGUAUCCUGUUUUGUUUAGAUAUAUUUUUUUUAAUUCUAUUUGUGUCUUUGAAAGUCUGAUUGUUGAUUGCUGGACCCUCUUUGGGUUGAUUGCCGGACCUGGUUUGUUGAAUGCCUGUGUUUGGCACAGCUUUUUGAUUUGUUAGCUUGUUGCAAUAAAGUAUUCCUGCACUUGCAACCAUCAUCUCCGGUGCCUGACACAUUUAAGUGGUUGAUUUACUUUUAAAAAUCUUGCAGGAUUCUGAUGGAUAAGGCAAGUUUUAGCUGUAGCUGCUGAUUAGGUGCCCUAAAUGUUCUCCAGUAUUUUAUACAGAUGUGCCAAAAUGAUUUUGACUGAGUGUGGUUGGACUUCAUGCAUCUUUCCAGUAAAAUGUCAGUAUUAUUGAUGACACAGGGGCUCCUGAAUGUCAGGCUGAGUGCAUGGAAUUCUUAAAAUACUUAAUUGAGGCCUCUAAAGUAAAACCAAAAGGAAGCAUGCAUUCUGCUUUUUUCUUUUUAAUUGUGCGAGUCUAUUUAUGAAUCAUGCUGAUGCCAUGACAGAGCCCCAGUUUAGGUUAUGUUUGUUACUAUUUCUAAAAGAAGAAAUGUUCAGAUUUGAGGUUAGUAAUAAUAAUAAUAAUAAUAAUAAUAAUAAUAAUAAU